UACAGAGGUGGCAAGCGUUGUUCGGAAUUACUGGGCGUAAAGGGCGCGUAGGCGGUCUUAUAAGUCUCGUGUGAAAUCCCUCGGCUUAACUGAGGAACUGCACGGGAUACUGCAAGACUUGAGUUCGGGAGAGGGAAGCGGAAUUCCGGGUGUAGCGGUGAAAUGCGUAGAUAUCCGGAGGAACACCGGUGGCGAAGGCGGCUUACCUGGACCGACACUGACGCUGAGGCGCGAAAGCUAGGGGAGCAAACGGG
rnacentral:rRNA from 1 species